UACGGAGGGUGCAAGCGUUGUUCGGAAUUACUGGGCGUAAAGCGCGUGUAGGUGGUUCGGUCAGUCGAAUGUGAAAGCCCCGGGCUCAACCCGGGAAGUGCAUCCGAAACUGCCGAACUAGAGUCCCGGAGAGGAAGGCAGAAUUCCCAAUGUAGGGGUGAAAUCCGUAGAUAUUGGGAGGAAUACCGGUGGCGAAGGCGGCCUCCUGGACGGUGACUGACACUCAGACGCUAAAGCGUGGGGAGCAGACAGG
rnacentral:rRNA from 1 species